GGCCCAAUGGUCUAGACGUAUGAUACACGCUUCGGGUUGAAUCCUUACGCUUACGUAUCCUGGGUUCAAUUCCCGGUUGGGCCC